CAGAUAAAAGCCAACCGGUGAGGCGCUUUCUUUGGGAGAAAGAGUUAGUUAGUUCGAUUCUAGCUUAUCUGA
rnacentral:tRNA from 13 species